rnacentral:lncRNA from 1 species
AGAAAUCAAAGGACGGGCUUGCGGAGAUUGGACCUGAAGAACAUGAAUCAUCAGGAGAACAGACGCUACUCCGCGACCAGCAUCUCCAAUCUCCGCAAGGCGAUGUUUCAACAGAUCCAAUAAUGGAGGUCGAUGAGUCGCUGCCACCAUGCGAGGACGGGAGUACAAUCUGCGUCGAGGCAGAACAACUCCAGACCUUAGCAGAUUCAGAUACUGACGGAGAAACUGAUGGAGAAAAAGUUUUCUCAAUUCCGGAUUUUACUCUGCCUCAAGGUCGCGAAGCACAGCCGCAAACAAGGAGAGCAGCUGACCAUCCUCCUGUUCAAAAUGGUGCGUGGGAAACAAGGUAAUUGAAUGGGCACUUACCAGCGUGUUGUUACAUCCGGAUUCCUGAAACAAUAUUACUAUAUAUAUCUCCUCCUCAUUUCUAAUUUGACUUCAAACUGAAUAUUCUGAAUUCCUGGUCGUUGAUGUGCUUUA